UUGUAUUUGAACACCAAUACGAAGCAAUUGACCCUGGGGCACUAAACAAAUUCAUCUCAAUUGACUAAGCAUCUGAACGUAUUGAUGCAUACCUCUUCUGCUGAAGAUGUGUUCUAAGGUUGUCAACGACCUCUUGCACGGGGAGAAGCCUCCUUGCAUCAGGCACCCUUGACGCCCGCACAAAGGCUCGACGCUCGAACUGCGCUCCAAUUUCACGGUACACUUCUUGGGCAAGCGUACUCUUACCAACACCAGCAGGUCCAAGAAUGGAUGCUACUUUCAGCCGCCCUCUGUCGUCAUCGACGUUACUGAAGAGCGGCUUGAGCCACUUGACGAGUUCGCCCUUCGAUUCACUGAUACCAAAUAGCUCUGUCCCAUUGACCCUACUGUUCAUACAGCUAGGAAAAGGAUUGGAUGGCCAACGUGAAAGCUCGUACCUCUCAUGCCGUUCACGGGCCUGCUUAAUGAGAUUCCUGAAUUGUUUGACCACAGAGAGGAUCCCUUUGUUCGUCUUGCGGCUAGCCAUCAUGUUGGAGCUAAUCACACUGUCAAUGAAAUCUUAAUGUCGUAGGACAGUUCGCGCACCUCAUUCAUCCAGCGCUUGUCCAUGGCGUUGGGACGUCCCAACCCUGACAGAUCCUUCCAUGAAGCUAUUUAGUUCUUCUAGAUCUUGUUUCAGAUGCAGGAUCCCGUCCUUCAGUGAUCCGGGCAGCUCAUGCUCCGGGGAGAAAAGCUGUGUAUGGAGCUUCCCAAGAAGGGGACCCAUGGCGCCCAACGACGAACUCAUCAUCUGUAGUGCCUCCAUGUCUACUUGGAAGAAACCAAAUCAUCAAGAUUGGAGAUCAGGAGGGGCCUAGUCACUCACCCACACCAUCCUGUCUUGGAUUGGCACCACAGGUGCAGAGAUCUGAGGGCUCGAAGCGAAGUGAUAGGAGAAAUGUGAGGGCAAGGCGAAAAUAAUUGGGGAUGACAAUGCCUUGCCUAACAAUGUUUGGGGGUUAGGAGUAUGUGAAGACAGGUGACACCAGCUGUGCUAAUAUAUAUAAUAUGUUUUCUGAUGGUUAGGAAUUAUACCCAAUUCAGUCACAAGUGGCGUUUUCAUAUUGUAAGUCGGCUAACAAAUUUUACUUUACUGGUACAUCAGUCGUUGCUCCUAGUAAUUUUAAGAGACACAAGUGUUAGAAUUUAGAAUCUUGUGAUAAGAUUGGCCUCGAUCUAUUUGCCAAAUAAUUAGUUCAUGUUUUAAUAUAAUACUCACAUAUAUACUUUGCAAACUUUAUUCGAUUAUGACAGACUUUAGUGCCCGUUACUCUAUAUGAUCUUUUUAUUCUGAUUCAUAGUUCCCCCUUUACAUGACACCUCCACGUGUGUAUGCAUGCGUUUAAAAGUUAGAAUAGACCCGAUGGUCAUUAAGAGUCCAUCCAACUGAUAGUCGGAUGUUUUUAUGAAAAUUUAUUAUAGAAUUUAUCUCUUUUUUUCUAACAUGUUUUGGAUGAUUAGCGUGCCGGCUCCAAAAUGAUUCUCUAAUUAUCGGUGAUACUAGUCCGUCAAUUCUGCCUUGCAGUUGCAGUACUUCCUCCGUUUUUAUUUAUAAGGUUCACAUGCAUAUUAAGAUUCAAAUUUUUAAAUAUUUUACCAAUGAUUUGACUAUUAAUUUUUUAUUUUUAUAAUGUAAACUUUAUAAGGUUGGAUUCGUAAUCAAAUAUACUCUACAAUGAUUAUACUACAAUGAUUAUAAGUUUAUAACCAUAAAUAUAAGAUAAGAUAUAUGAAUGGUCAAAAUAUUAUUUGGAAUACCGUGCCAAGUCAUACCAUGCCUUAUAAAGAUGGAUGGAGGGAUUAAUAAAAGAGACAUAAUUGUUAAAAGUUCACAUAAAUAUGGAACCCACAAGUAAUGACGUUUCUUAUCUUUGUUGUCUCUCAUUAGUUCAUGUUCUAACACAAUACUUAUCUCUCUAUGUCACACCCGGUUUUGAAGGCAAAACCACAUGAAUAAAUUACAUGUGCGCCAGGAUUAAGUUUCACACCUGCAACGACUUCAGUAAAUACCAUAGACAGCGCCAAAACAUAAAGAGAGUAUUAAAUUUAUUACAUGAUGGAGUCUUUAAUUCGAAUAACAAAAUGAGUCUUUAUUCUAGCAGCGGAUCUCCAACGAUGAUGACGACUCCACAGGCAGUCGACUGGUAGCACAUGUACGCCUAGAACUCUUCAAAAUCUUCAAGAACCUCCUCAAAGUAGACUUGGUCUGAGCAGUGGUUUUAGCAAGGGUGAGUACACUUAUGGUUGGUACUCAGCAAGAAUGGGGAAUGUGUAGUAUAAGGCUAUUCAAGGAUAAUUAAUAGUUUAAUAGUAUUUCAGUAUUUUAAUUGGUUGGUCAAAUUUUCUUAACCAUUACCAAGUAUAAAUUUAUGCCACCCACGUUAAGCAUGAACAUAAAUAAAGAUAACAACAAUAAAUAACAUCAAUUUAAUUCAACUUCUGAUAAAUUAAUCAUGUGAGGGUCCAGGCCGCUCUUGACCGUGAGCAUUGCUGUUAUAACAGUUUUACACUCUGCAGAGGUUGUACACUUUCAUCACAAGUUGCAUAAAAGUUCAAAAGAAAUAUGGAUCCAACCAUGUUGUAUGGGCUAGGCAUAAUACCACACUUUCGACUUGUGAUUGCGUAGCGACGCUACGAGACCUUUACAAAGAUUCCCUAAUAAGUGGUAACCCGCUAAAGUUUCGGUGUUUGGCAUGCAUAAACCUCCCUAGUGGGCAUAGUAUCUUAGCAAAGCUCACUUCCCAAGAGGACCGGGUUAUACAACAACUUAGUCCCCCCUUCUUGCCCUCAGUAAGAAUACCCUAAACUAGAAUCUCUAAUUACUUAGACUAGAGCCAUAUAGUUCUUGUGGUUGCAUUAUUUUCCUGGGUAGUUCUCCAUGUUUCAAUUAAGCAUAGUAAUCUUGUAUUAAUGAAAGGUAUAGAAUAAAUAAAAUAUGCUUAAUUAUUGGUUCAUUAAUACCACCAUAUCUAAAUAGACCAACUAAGCCAGAACUACCCAACAUGAUAUAAACCCAAGUUGAUCAAGGUAUAGGGGUAAAACUAGGCAAAUCUUAUACAGGACCCAUCAUGUUUAUAAACAUAAAGUGCAUAGCAUAUGUAUUGAACAUAAAAGUAAAGGUUGCAUAGGAUCAAAUUGCAAUAAAGGGCACGACUUACCUUCCUGAACUUGCUCUUGCUGCUCAAAGUCAUCAAAGCCUUGCUAACUUACCUACCUGAACUUGUUCUUGCUGCUCAAAGUCAUCAAAGCCUUGCUCUUCGAAUCCCUCGAACUGUAGUCCUUCUAUACGCAUCAAACAAAUGCAUACAAGCAAACAAAGGACUAAAUAAAAAAUAUAUCAAUCAAUAGCAAAAGAUCAAAAUAGGAUCAUAAAAAUAAUCUAUGCAUCAACACGAACUCAUAGGCGCAAGAAUCGCUUAAAACGGAUUUAAAACACUAACUGUACGAGUUAAACAAGAUUCAGGGGCUUAACUACGAGGAAACUAAACUUCCAGGGGAUAACUUUAAAGAAAUCGAGGGCUAAAACCUAAUUAAACAUAUAAACAGAAGGUCUAACGUGUAAAAGAGUAGAUCUAGGAUGGCAGGCGAUAUUUUGUAAAAGGGCAGGGGCCUAAAUAGAGGAAAAAGGAUCUAAAUCUAAUUACUUUUGAACUAGAUGAUCUCGGGUGCAAAAAGAGAAAAAGGAAGUAGCCUUUUAGCAAAAGUGGUGCAGGCAGCUCGGGUUGACCGGUACGCUGACCGGUUGACUCCGGUUAGAUCCAAUUUGAGCCGUUGGCUCGCGAUCGGGUGGCUGGCGACUGCGGCGUGGGGCGGUGACGAGCGGCGGCGCUACAUAGGACCUCGCCGAAAUCGAGCGUAGCUCGAGUGACGGUUCAUGGCUUUCGACGGGGACUUGCUUGGGGCGAAGCUGGGGCAUGGCGAACCGAUUUAGGUGGUUCUCGUGGUGGCCUAGUUGAGGACGGCGCAAGGCGAUGCGGCAGAGCGCCUCGGCGUGGCGACGGUAACUCCGGCGAGCUCGUCCGCGCGAAAGACGGCAUGGGAGUGCACAAAAUCUUCACGUGAAGCUUCCUCACCAUGAUGCGAACCUCCAAGCGGUGAUCUUGUCGACAGCAAGGUGGCGACAGUGGAGAUCAAGCACGACAGGUGUGUUCUAGGGUUCGAGCUCGGGCGGCGGCGCUGGGUGCGAGGCGAGGGUGCUAGGGUUUGAUGGGGGCUUCGGAGGCAUGGUAGUGGCUUAUAUAGGUCAGGGAGAUGACCUUGGUGUGCGCGCCACAAAGCGGAGACGGAUGCGGGGCGGUCGGGACUAGAGCUCAAGUCCAGCUCGGGUGCGGCGCGAGGACAGGGAUGAUGGGUGGGGGCCACCUGUCAGCAGCACGUGGGCUGGGCUGGCGUGGGAGCGGGCUGGUGUGGGGGAGGCGCUGCUUGGCUAGCCUGCUGGGCUGGCUCCUACGGGGCAGGGCUAAAAUAAAAAGUGGGCCAAAAGGAGAAAGAGAAAGAGAAAGAGAAAGGUUUUUCCUAUUUUUGCAAAGGGAUUCAAACAAAUGAAUUCAAAUACAAAUUUGAAUUCAAUCAAACAAAAUCAAUGCACCAGCAUGAAUGCAACAAUGAAACACUAUAAUUCAUUAAUUUAUUUUGAAAAAGAUUUAAAUGCCUCAUAAAAUUAAAUGCAACCUUAGAAAACCUUAAAUCCUUAAACACAAGCAAUUAAUUUCUAGAAAAUUCUAACAAAUUUUAUUCAUUUGCAAAAGUUGAAAAUUAGGGUGUUACACUCUAUAAGGUUAUGAUAGACUUUAGCCAUGAAUUACUCUUUAUGCUUUUCCAUUUCAUCUAUAGAUGUUCCAUUUGCAUCACAACUCCAUGGUUAAAACCUUUCCUCGAACUAUGUGUUUUGACCUGGAAGUUGAUAGGCUUGUUUUUCGUGGUGUGCAUGAUGACACACAUCAUGCUAGUAUACUUUGAGUUAGUUUUUUUCUUUGUAAAAAAAAUAGAAAAGUGGGUAAUUUAGAUGAUAGUGCAUGUAUGUAGGAUAAUUUUGGAACAUUUUUAUAAUAAUAGAGAUAGGAAACCUGUUUAAUGGACUUUAUUUUAAUAAUGACAUGGGUUGGUAUUAGAUGCAUAGUUAAAGAGUUACUUUUGAUAAAUUUUUAUAAUAGCGUAGGUAAGUAAUAUGGAUGAAGAUUAAGAGUUACUUUAGAUUAUUUGUGCGAAGGAUACAUAUGUUGCUACACCAAACUUAGACUCUACUAUAGUUCAAGAUCUCAGAGUUAGAGAGACAUAAGACCAAGGUAUAUGUCACACCCGGUUUUAAAACCAAGUACUACCUAUAUGUAUGGUAGGAUGUAGUUUCAUACAUAUAGUAAGAUCAUUAGUGAAUAACAAUAAUAGUAUCACGUAAAGAAAUAUAAAUAAAGACUUAUAGGUCUAUCUGUGUUAUACAACUUAAUCCUGAAAACGUAGGCUCCAAACUUCACAUGCAAUUAACUGGAGUUGCGUAUGCCUAGAAUUCAGCAUUAUCUUUGGAAAACUUCACACACCUUUCUCUUCCGAGCAGCAGUAAGCAAGGGUGAGUACUCUUAUGGUUGGUACUCAGUAAGGCCAUAUGAAAUAACCAGAAUACCGAUUUAAGUCCAUCUUAAAGUUUAAUUAAUCAUGUGAGGGUCCAAGCCGCUCUUGACCAUGAGCACGGCUGAUCGAUCAUUUUUACACUCUGCAGAGGUUGUACAUCUUUACCCACAAGUUGCGUAAAAGUUCAUAAGAACUUUAGACCCAACCAUGUUGUGAGGGCCAGGCACAAUACCACACUACCGAGGUGUGAUUGCAUAGGAACGCUACGAGGUCUUUACAAAAAUUCCCUAAUAAGUGGUAACCCGCUAAGGUUUCUGGAUCAGUAGCAAAGUCUAAACCUCCCUAGGGGGCAUAAGGUCUUAGCAAAACUCCCUUCCCGAGAGGACAGGGUUAUACCCCAUCUACCGCCGCCCCUCUUGCCUUUUCGGUAAGAUCACCUCAAACUAAGGUCUCUAAUUAAUUAGCCAAGACUAGUGCCAUUUAGUUCUUGUGGUUGCACUGUUUUCCUAGGUGGUUCUCCAUGUUCCAAUUAACAUCAUCAUGGCAUUAGAAAUAAGCAUAGACAAAAGGAUGGUUAGGGACACUUGCCUUUCUCCAACAAAAAGUUACUCUUACUACUCUUCAGAUCUUGCUCUUUUGAAACUCUUAAUCUUCAAAUCUUUCAAAUAGCGAUCCUUCUACUCGAAGCAAUCACCGGCACAAAUAUACAAGCAAAUAAACAAGUACAACUAAGAACAAUACACCAAAAUAAAAGAAAAUCUUUAAAAGAGCGUACUAAAGGAUAGGGCUUGAUCUAGGAUCACGCAAAUGCAGGAAAUGCUGAGAACGGAACUAUGGUCGACAAGGCAAAAUUAUCGUGAGGUUUGAUUUAUAAAAGAAAGAGAAAUGACUACGUGCUUCAUAUAUUUUAAUAAGCAAAAAUAUGUAAAGAUAUUUUAGAGAAACAUCCUUAGCAAGUUAUAUUUAUAUAUGAAAAGAUGAUGUAGAGCUUAGUCAAAUUUUAUUUAUAAACAUUCAAGUACAAUUUAUGCAAAUUAAAUAUUUAAUUUAAAAAUAAAGUACAUGUAAACAUCUAAGCGCAUAGCUUUAUGAUUCGGGUUGAACUAACUGAAUCAUAAUUCAAAACCAUAUGUAUAUUUUUAUUAGUCAAAUAAAAAUUUAAUUAUUAAAAUUUGAGAUAUAUCUUAUUUAGCUUUUAUUUAGAAAACAAAUUGAAUACACAUUAAUUAGUUUAAGUUUGACUAUGAAAACCAAGGUAUAACUCUAGUUAGCUUUUAAUUGGAAGAAAAGUAAGCAUUAAUCAAUUUGAUGUUUAUUGUGAAAAGAAGUGUAUAACUAAGUAGCUUUUAUUUAGAGAAGACACAUGUUUAUCAGGCAUUAAUCAAAUUAAUAACAAAUUUAUUUUCAAAAAUAUGGAUGAAGUAAAACAUCACCACUAACAUAUAAUUUAUGUUACCAUGAACCUAACACAAUUUGAAUGGAUAGAAAUGGAGCUAAAACAUGUAAUCUAUAGAUUAAACAAGGUUCGGGGGACCUAUCAUGAUUAACUAUAGACUUCAGGGGUUAGCAGUGAAGAAACUCUAGACUUAGUUAAUAGUCACUGCGAAUAGACGAAUCCUCAGGGUUAGAUCUGUGAGAUUCUAGGACUUGGCUUAGAUUGGAAUGAUCUGGAUUUUCUAGGAGUUUUUCUAUAUGAAAUACAAGACUCGGAAGAAAGGUGAAGAAUUACAUAUUUUUAGGGGCCAAAGUGCAAAACAUCCUCACCUUCAACCUCCGGUCGGCCUUAUCUGUCGACCAUACAUGCUCGGACCCACCAGAAGGUCUGUACGGACCCACUCAAGGGGACGUACUCGAGAUGUAUCAGGACAUGAAGACUACGCUACAGGGCAACAUAGACUACAUGGAACUCCGAAGGGCUAGUCGGAAUAUAAGGAAACUACUCUGCCAAGUUAGAGUAGGACUCUAUAGUCUUAUCUGACUAGUACUCUUGUACUCAAAGCUACCCUGUAACCCUGCUCCCCGGAUAUAUUAGGGCGGGCAGGGAUCCCCUCCAAACAAGUUCAAUCGGAUAUAAGCAUACAACACACAGGACGUAGGGUUUUAUGCGAUCUAGCGGCUUGAACCUGUCUAAAUCAUGUCCCUGCGUCACCAUCGGCUCCUUGAAAUUUGGUGACACCCACCAACCAAAACUCUAUCUUGGGUACUCCCUUGAUAUGUUGCCGGGUUAAAACACUGAUAGCUAGCGCGCUAGGUAGGGGAAGUCGCCGAAAUUCUCCGCAUGAGAUCGAUGGCUUCAGUCAUCAUCAAGCCUGCGUUCGUGUUCAAGCAGGCGCAAUGUUUGUUUUUGGCUCCUGGCUCUGCAUCGCUGACAGCAUUGGAGGUUUCCAACAUCGCGUCAUCGAAGAACCGGAGAAAAAGUAUCUCGGCGGAAACUCUCGUUGACAUGAGGAGAAAGAUUUCGUCGAGGAAUUAUCCACUCGGCCGGCCAGGCAUGCCGGCGGCAUCGGCCGGGGCUGGGGUGGCUCGCGCAGCAAGCUCGAGAGGUGGCAUUCGGACAAACGGUGGCGCAGGGGUGUCAGUGCGGGAGGCGCGGGCAGUGAUGGCGGCGGCACGCAGGGGUUUUGGCGCGACGGCUCAUGCGGUGGGCGGCCGGCGGCCUGGCCAGGCGAGGGCGGCUGGCGGGGUGCAGGUGGCUAGGCGCGCAGGGGUCCGGCGGCUGCGGCGGGCACGAGCGCCGGUGGUAGCAGCGGCUGGCGGCGAGCGGUGGUGGUGGCACGGCCAGCGCAUGCGAGUGGUGGUGGCGGCAGCGCAGCGCGGGUCGAGCGCGUGGGAUAGCGGUGGCGGCGCGUUUUAUAGGCGCGCUCACCUAGGUUGAUCGGCGGUAGCUAGACCCAGAUGGGCCUGACGAGCUUGCGGCUGGGUCGGUCAGAGCAGGUCGGGCCCACGGGCUCGGCUGGUAGGAUAGGUUAGAUUUAUUUUUGUUAGAAAUCAUUUCCCGUGUCAAUAAAAAAAUCUAGAUAAUUCAUUUAAGCCAAAAAAUGCUCUGAAAAUUCCAAAAAUUCUAGGAAAAUUCCUAGAGAUAAUUGGGACACGAUCAAUUCAAAUAAAAUACUUGGACCACAUGAAAAGGAGUCUAGAGCCUUUCAAAAAUUGGAUUUAGCUCUUAGAAAAUGAGGGUAAAUUCCAAGAAAUUCUGGAAAAUUUUUGGAAGAACCUAAACAUCGUAUGAACACAUUUUUGAAACUUUUACACUCAUGAAACACCAAGAUGUAUCAGUAUGAAUGCAACACACAAAAAACAUUAUUUAAUUUAGAAAGAACAAACAAUUAUUUUUCCUAUACUAAAUUUUCUGUGAAGAAAAAUAAAUGUUGGGAAAUUUUUUAAAAUUAUGUUAAAAUUAUUGUUUAUUUAUUCCUUUUUAAUUAUAUCCUGAAAUUAAAAAAUCUCAGCGUGGGACAAUAUAGCUCACAAAAAUAAACAAAGGUAGUAUAACCUAAUAUUACUUGCAGGCAUGCAUUGAAAGCGACACAUGCAAUGCAUGGCGCAUGGCCCUCAGCCCCUAGUCCUACGACCCCACCCCGCCAGCACAGAUCCACCCAUCAGUGCUAGCGGGUGCUUGCAUCGCCCGCCAGCACAGUAAUCACUGUGCUGGCGGGCGUUCCCCCGCCGGCUCAAGGAACCACUGUGGUGGCGGGUAUUCCCCCGCCGGCUCAAGGAACCACUGUGCCAAUCACGCCCUCCAACAUGGUAAUUUUCAUGUGCCAGCAUAAAUUAUUUCUGGCGUAGUGUUGUACCGUUAUUAGGUACCUACAUGCAUAUACAGUUAGGAGUUCAUCCGUUUGUUAUCAUUGCCAUAAGCUUUUAGCCUUUUACCAUCAAAUAGAGGAAGCUCCCGAUAACAAGUGGGUUGUCGCACAGAUAAACCAUGUCUUUUGUCUAAGAAAUGCGCAGAUUGUGUCCCAUCUCUAUCUUCAUGAUCCACGCAAUUAAUGACCUGCAGAUAAAAUCCAAACGUCAAUGGAAAAUGAUUCACGUGUAGAAAAAAAAAGAGUUCGCCGUCUGCUACAUACACCCUCAGCAUCAUCAGUUCAUCACCAUGCAAGCUAUGCAGCAGAGCGGCACCACGAGCCAAGUCAACCUGCCAGCGCACCAUGAAAGUUUUUUAUACUUAAGGACUCGAUUAUAUUAAAUAUUAAUGAGUUAAAUGCACCGGCGGCCCUUGAAUUUGUGCCGAUGUGUUAUCUAGGUACACGAACUUUGAAAAUGCAUUUUUAGGUCCCCAAACUUGGUAAUUGUGCCAAAUAAGUCUAAAUCCUAGCAAUUUGCAUUAAAACGCUGAUUACACUAUAAUUAGCCCCUCUCUCUCUCCAUCUCUCUCUCUCUCCCACCGCCCCCUCCAUCCCUCCCUACUCUGGCCCCCUCUUGUCUUCCCAGUGGCGCCCCUCCCCGGUCGCAUCCUCCCUUCCCGCGCCAGCCGUCGCCCUCUCCCUCCCUUCCUGAGCAGACCGCCACUCCUCCCUCUCCCCGCGCCGCCAACCACCGGUCCCUCACCCCGCACCGCCAGCCGCCCAUGAGCCCCGAGUCCGCGCGUGUCGGGCAUACACCCCAGGUCCACGAGUAGGCCUCGGACGGCCCAUCAAGGGACGCACUCGGAAAAGAUCAGAACAAGGAUGGGCGUAUCCUACUCGGACUAGUUUUGUAUGUUUAUGGAAAGCUACUCGGGUCAUUACUGAGUAGAACUCUGUAAUAGUACCCGACUAGGACUCAGACUUGUAACCCUGCCCUCCCGUGUAUAUAAGCCCGGGCAGGGACCCCCUUAAACAGACCCCGAACAGAGAGACAUCAUCUCAACAUACAUCAAUACAAACCAACACACAGGACGUAGGGUAUUACGCGAUCUAGCGGCCCGAACCUGUCUAAAUCGUGUUCCUUGCGUCACCAUUGAUUCCUUGAUUCUCGACGACCCUUACCGCACAAAAGACCACCUAGGGUACCCCCUAGGCGGGUUGCCGGUCUAAAACACCAACAGCGCGGCCUCGUGGCCACCCUGCAGAGCGUCGUGCAACGCUUGUCCAUGUCCCGGGCCAGUGCGCGUAGGGAGGAGGACGAGGUGGAGGAGGAGCAACGCGAGGUCCGCGUGCCCGCCCGUGGCCGCAACGUGGAGGAGCGUGUUGCCCCCACCGUGGUGGCCGACUCGAGGUCUGGGGUGGCAGGGUCCGCCAGGAGCGCCUUAACGAGCCGGCACUCGUCGCCACUGCGCGUCGUGCGGAGCAGCACGGGGCCCGUGGUCGCUAGCGCGGCAGUAGCAGACAGCGGGCACGGGGUUUGUGGUGGAGGGUCAAGAAAGCAAGGUGUGUAAAUUGUUGAAGUCGUUGUAUGGCCUGAAAUAAGCACCUAAGCAAUGGCAUGAUAAGUUUGAUAGAACUUUAACUUCUGCGAGCUUUGUCAUUAACGAGGCUGAUAGAUAUGUGUACUAUCGCCAUGGUGGGGUGAAGGAGUUAUACUGUGCUGGUAUGUGGAUGACAUACUGAUCUUUGGCACAAACAUUGAUGUGAUCAAUGAGGUCAAGUCUUUUCUAUCAUAGAACUUUGAUAUGAAAGAUUUGGAAGAAGCUGAUGUUAUUCUGAACAUCAAGCUGAUUAAGGAUGAUAAUGAGAUUACUCUUUCGCAAUCCCAUUAUGUGGAGAAGGUCUUGAACCGUUUUGGUUAUAUGGACAGCAAGCCUUCUCCAACACCUUAUGAUCCCAGCGUGAUACUUAGACAGAACAAGAAAACUGUGAAAGACCAACUGUGAUACUCUCAGAUUAUCGGCUCACUCAUGUACUUAGCUAGCGCAACGAGACCUGACAUAUCUUUUGCUGUGAGCAAAUUGAGCAGGUUCAUGUCAAACUCGGGCAUUGAUCAUUGGCAUACAAUUGAAAGGGUUAUGCGCUACUUGGUGGGUACUAUGAGUUAUGGGAUUUACUAUUCCAGGCACCCUGCUGUGCUGGAGGGAUAUAGUGAUUCGAACUGGAUUUCUGACGCUGAUGACCUAUAUGCCACGAGUGGGUAUGUGUUUACCCUUGGAGGUGGUGCAAUAUCAUGGAGGUCUUGCAAACAAACCAUUCUGAUGAGGUCAACCAUGGAAGCAGAACUUACUGCUUUGGAAACAAUCACUGUUGAGGUAGAGUGGCUUUGUGAGCUCUUAAUGGACUUGCCUGUGGUUGAUAAACCAGUGCCGGCAAUCCUUAUGAAUGGUGAUAGUCAAAGUGAACAAUGCUAAGGAUAAUGCGAAGGUAUUAAGACAUGUCAAGAGAGGACUAAAGUUUGUCAGGAAGUUGAGAAACUCCGUAGUAAUAAGUGUGACUUACAUUCAAACAGACAAAAACCUGGUAGAUCUCUAUACAAAAGGGCUAUCACAGAAUGUGAUAGACUGUGCAUCGAGGGAGAUGGGUAUAAGACCCGUUUGAGUUGCCGUAGUAGUCACCCAACCUAUGUGAUCGAAGAUCCCGUGAAUUAGGAUCUGGGAAAUACAAGCUAUCGAUUGACUGAGGAGAGUAAUUAUUAAACCCUCUUUAUGUGAAGAUGCAAUACUCUCAAAUGCUGUAAGGCAGGUUAGCAAUAUGCUUUAAUGUGCUUCUAUUGGCUUGAUUAAGCAAAGAUGCUGUUCUACAGAGCAUUCUUGAAAGAACACACCUAUAUGAGCCCGACUGUAAAACAUUGCAGUCUAUGAGACUUGGGUGAUCUCUAGUAAUCUCACAAAGAGACCAAGGAGUAUGACAAAUAUGCUCCACCCGCGGGGUAGGCUACUGGCAGCUAGGUACUAGUUCCGACUUUGAGUGAAACUUGUUCGCACAAAACUUGCAAUUCAAGGCUUGGUCCAUUGUUCAAGUUGUGGAUGAAUGUAGCUUGAAGCUCUAGGCGAGAGUUCAACUUAACAGUCCUUGCUGGAACACUAGUAUAUCAAACAGUACUGAAUAAAACGCAAAACACCUAAAUGGGUAUUUGAGAUCUGGUGGGGGAUUGUUAGAUAUAUGGGCUUAGCCAUUUAAAUAAUCCUUAAUAAAUCUCAAAGGCCCAUUAGCGUUAAGAGGGGGUACACCAUCUGUUAGUUCCGUAUUGCUAAUAGACGAGGGUGUGGGGUUUUCCUCCCUAUAUAUACGGACCACCUCCCUCAUGGAAAAGAUGCACCAUAGACUACUAUAAGGGAAGGUCCCCAGGUUAGGGUAUCCCUAAGAUGGUCUAUAUGAGUUAGGUUUUGCCUCUUCUCGCUGCUACGCCGCCACCAUAGUCAACUUCAUCCUGAACGCCAGCGUGCACCGGUGAACAGGAGAGCAGGUUUCCGAAACCUCUUGCUCUUGUGAUCCUACACCGGGAGGGGGCGAAUAAGAUUUUUGGAAAGCGCUCCGCAUGACUACUCAAGCUCUUCACCACGGCCCGUCUUCCGUCCAAGUCCGGCGUUGCGGUGUCCCAUCGUCUUCGAUAUCGUCAACUGCGCUCCGUCCGCAACAUCGUUGUCAUUCCUUUAGCACCACUUGUCAUCGCGGCUGCACCUACUAAGUACGUAUGUCAUGAUCCGAUUUGUUAUUUCAGCAUGUUUUCUGAGAUAACGAAGUCGUGCUUGCUAUUGCCUAGUAUGUUAGAGAAUUGCAUGCUAGGUUUUAUUCUUGUCAUGAUAAAUCUAGUUUGGAAUUUAAUCAUGGAGUUGUCUAAUUUUUCAACACUACUCUUGUUGCAUUCAUUGGAAGGAGGUUUGUAUGAGCAUCUAGUCCAACUUUUCUUUGGAGUUCGGAUAGGAAAGUUGUUCUCGCUCGAAAUGGAACGUGAAUUUGAACAUAGAGGACUCAGCUCGUAAUAGCAUCGUAACCAAUAGGGGGAUUAAGCAAAAUGUCAUGUGAUGCGUUCUCCCUAUUUUCUUUCAAUGUUGACCGCGAUGCGUCGGCUGAUGUGGAGCUCACGCCACUGUUAGGUGGACCUGGCCCCGUUCGCGUGUGGGACCCAGGGGUUGGCUAGAGGCGCCUGGUCGCUCGUGCGCUGGCCAUUCCGACUUCCCAGUGGGGCUUGAACCGUGGAAUCUUCUGCUGCGCGGUGAAAAGAAAAAGAUGUCCGACCAAAAACCCUCAACAUCCACAUGCGUGCGUGCACGGCGAGGGGACAUCAUGACAUUGCACCGUUGCCACAUAGGAUGCGGCAACCAAUGAAAGAAGCGGGUGGUAAAAAGGCCGCCGACAAUUGCAGCCUGCUCACCUCUCACUACAGCAGAUCCAUGUUGACCCCACCGAUGGGCCCUAUCUAGCCCAACAUGACCUCCCCGAAAUUCUCUAUCCAUUUCACAGUACACCAACUCAUAUCACACCAGAUAGAGAAUUCCCGAAAUCAUAACAGGAACAGAUGAGCGACGCCGAUGAGGUAUGAGAAUAGGGAAAAAGAAUAGGACAAAUGCAGCAAGAGUUCAAUUUCCAGCUGUUUCUCUUCUACAGUUCUACUGCAUCAGAAACAAGCGAACAGAACAGAAAAUCAGAUACAGUAUACAAAUAAGGGCGAUCAGUUACUGGGCAGCGCUAUUCAUUGUUGCUGAUGUCAUUUUUCGAGAUCCUUUUUGAUCUUCUUCAGUUUGGACACCACACUGCUCAUUGACAUCCUUUGUUCAGGCGAGUCACUUGAGCAGAGCAAUCCCAGCUCUAAUAUUGGCAAAAGAGAAUCAUUCAGGUUGCAGGUAGAAGAAGCUUCCUGCAGGAGCUGGUCAUCCAGAACAGAUUCAAGUUCAGAUGGAAAUGCCUGAUGAACCCACUGCCUGAUGCUCAGUUCUCCAUCAAACAUCGGAUCUGUGGGUCUCUUUCCAGUGAAAACUUCAAGGAGCAUGAUCCCGUAGCUGAACACGUCACUCUUGCGUGAUGCCUUUCCUAGAGAUCCAUACUCUGCUCAAGAGAUUCACAAAACGGAGAUUUAGCAUGAUCGAUCGCCACAGUUAACAAAUUAUAAACUAGGAUUAGCAAGAGUACAAAAUGGUUUCGUACCUGGUGCUAUGUACCCUAGUGUUCCAGGCAUGGUUGCGGUGAUCAUGGAGUUGUCAUCACCCAAUAGAAACUUUGCUAUUCCAAAGUCAGCUACAUGUGCCGUCAUGUCAUCAUCAAAUAGCACGUUGGUAGGCUUCAAGUCACAGUGCAGGACUACCUCGUGGUGCUCAUGAUGUAGAUACUCCAUCGCCAUCGACACAUCCAGCAUGAUAUUGAGUCUCUUGAGGAACCCCAAGUGCCUUCUUGCUUCAGAGUGUAGGAGUGUAUCCAGGCUUCCAUUGGGCAUGUACUCAAGCACCAAUAUUCUGAGAUCCAGGUUGGAGCAGGUGUUCAGAAUCUUUAUCAGAUUUCGGUGUCGAACCAUGUGAAGCACACGACACUCAGCAUCAAAGCUUCUAAUUGCUUGUUCCAGCUGCAUGUCUAGAACUUUUAUUGCAACCACCAAACCGGUGUUCAGUUGGCCCUUGAAAACUUUUGCAAAGCUCCCCAUCCCCAAAAGGUUAUUGUCACAAAAAUUAUCAGUGGCACGGACAAGCUCAUGGUAGGAGAGUAACCUAUGGCUCGUGACAUCACUUGGGUCAGCAACAGAGGGGUGGGCACUCUUGUUUUUGAGUUUCCUUUUGAUCAUUAGGUAAACACAGAGAACAAUAGAAACAAAUGCUAUGGUGGCAGCAGGGAGUAGAAGUUUUAGCAAAUGUCUGUCAGUUGAGUCAGACUUCUCAAGACAUGGUGAAAAUCCUAGACGAGGAGAACCACAUAGGUCAGCAUUCCCAAUCAGUGAUGUCAAUGUGAUGUUUGAGAAAAUGCCUCCCUCUGGUAUCUUUCCUUCUAGCUUAUUGAAGGAGAGAUUCAAGGUUGUCAAAGAGGUGAAAUUGGCAAGGAACUUGGGAAUGGCACCAGAGAGAUUGUUGGAGGAGAUAUCCAAUAAUGCUAAGCUGGUCAGCUCUUGAAACGAUUCUGGGAUCGUGCCCUCAAAUGAGUUGUGUGAUAGAUCUAGCUGAGCGAGCAUCCUAAGCUGUCCAAACGAUUCUGGAAUUUUUCCAGUCAAAAUGUUGGAAGAUAUUUCAAUUUGAUCCGCCAGUUUUAGUCCACUAACAUCAGCUGGUAGGGCACCAGAAAAAUAAUUGUGAGAAAGAGAUAGUUCGACAAGUUUAUCCAGGUGGAAUAAGCUAGCCGGUAUUGUUGAAUUGAAGUGGUUGUUGCGCAUCACGAGGUAUUCUAGCUUGGUAAGGUUGCCAAUGCUAUUGGGUAUAGAGCCAAAAAAUUUGUUUCCACGGAGAUACAACCUUUGUAAGCUUUUCAUCAUACCGAUUUGCGUUGGGAUAGGGCCUGACAUGUCAUUGCCUGAGACAUUAAGGUACACAAGAUUUUUCAUCGACGUGAUCGAUUCUGGUAUUGCUCCCGUGAGUAGGUUUUUGCGAAGAUUAACCGUGUCAAGACCACUUAAGUUUGCCAAGGUUGAUGGAAGCACACCUGUUAUCUUAUUGUGGCCUGCAUCAAACUUACGUAAUUUUAUAGACAGGUUUCCCACAUGGUCAGGGAGUUCCCCACUGAAAGAAUUUGAAUUUAUUUCAAGCUUCUGGAGUUGUUUACAGUUGGAAAGGGAGGACAGGAAGUCAAGAUGUCCAUUUAAAUUAUUAUGUUGCAGAUGAAGCUUCUUCAGAGCUCGGAUGUUCCCAAGUGUGGCUGGUACUGAUCCAGACAAGGUCAGACAUCUUAGAUAAAUUUGUGAGACUGGUUGGUAUUGGACCUGCUAGCUGGUUGGAUCCGAGAUGCAGAUACGAGAGUUCUCUCAUUAGGCCUAAUUCAGUUGGAAUGUCACCGGUCAGGUUGCAGAAAGAGAGGUCUAGUUUAGUAAGACCGGUGAGGUUGCUAAGAACAGCUGGGAUAGAUCCAACAAGGUGAUUUCUUCCCAAGAAAAUAGUUUUGAGCUGUGACAGUUCAGCCAACCACGUUGGCACAGUAUCACAGAAAGAAUUGUGGGCCAAAGAGAGAGUUUGCAAGCGCUGGCACGCUGAAAGCUCUAGUGGUAUCCCACCUGCAAAGUUGUUUUGUUCCAAGAUUAACUUCCGAAGCACCGGUAGGCUAAAACUUUGAUUGCUAGGAAUCGACCCAGUUAGAUUGUUAUGUCCGAGUGACAUGAAUUGCAGCAGUGACAUGUUGAAAAUGGUACUAGGAAUGGCGCCUGAGAGGCCAUUUUCAUGGAGAUCUAGUUUCCGAAGCCGAGACAGCCUACCAAGAUCGGAGGGAAUUGUGCCCGAGAGGCUGGUGUUUAUGAGGUUGAGCUGCAUGAGGAAAGAGAGGUUACCGUGAUGUGGGCUGAGCUCUCCUUGCAAUGGCACACUUCUCAGCGACAGCGCAGUAACGCGCUGCUGAGGCUGACUGCAUGACACGCCGAUCCAGCGACAGAAGGACACGUUGGUUGUCCAGUUUCUGGCAAGGAUGCCGAGAGGAUCCGAGAGCUGAGCUUUGAAAGCCAGCAGCGCGGCGAGGUCAGUGUCGCUCCCGUUGAUGUUGGGAGUUGGACUUGGGCCUGGGGAAGAAGAAGAAGCAGAAGCGACACCAGUAACUAGAACGGACAGUGAGAUGGCCACCAAUUGCACCAGGAUGAACGAGCUGCUUGCAGUGGCCAUUGCAGCGUGCCAGGCUUAUUUAGUUGUUCAACGAGACACUCACAAAAGAUGACCAGCUACGCAGCAACGUUUUGUAGGAAAGUAGCUUGACUAUAUUAUUUUUCCCUAGUUAAUUUCCAAAUUUCAGCUUUCCUUGAAAAAAAAUACCAAAUGUCAGAUGACCAUAUUGGACGCUUGCCAUCUGGGCGUGUCUGGCUAAUAUGUUGACUAAUUACCCGUUGCCGGCUAUAAAGGAAUGAAGAAAGAAAGACUUGUUCUGGUAUAGCAGUAGUUUCUGACACCUGGCUACUCGUAAUGCCUCUAGGUCUGCAUCGAGAUAGACGUGCCCGUCCUUAAGUCCAGGUCAGUCAAAGUCUUCAUGGGUCCAACAAACAUCGGGCGAUCAUGAUGGAAAAGAUAUAUGUAAGAGCCUGCAGAUUCUCACCUAAUACGAACAGCAGGAUGAGUGUGCACCUUUGAUUAAGUUACUCAUUUAAUUCUUCUUCGCCGGCUGCAGUAGCUGUCGAUCCUCCAGCAGCAUGAAGCCUGAAGGCAAAUGAAUUACCAACAGCGGGAGGGUAAACAGUACUCCUGCCAGCCCAAGCCUCUGAUGGCAUCACUGAAGAUAAUUCACUGAACUAUGUAAUAAUUCAGACAAGCAUUGCGCUUGAGAGGGAAAACAAAAUAAAAGUAAUACAAAGGAAACAUUAACUAAACCUCUGUCUAUGAAAACCCUCGUCUGUAUGCUCUAGAGCAAGAGCAGAGUCCCAGAAUUUCUGCAUUAUUGUGUUCGCCACAUCAUUUGCAGUCCAGGAGGCCCUUUAUCCUUCGGGAAAAAAAACAAUUUUUGAUGGACUGAGAUUACUUGGGGAAAAAAACAUUUUUUGCAUUCCAGAGCCUCUUUGCAGAAUUUUUAAAAGAAUUUUGUAAGGGUAAAACUGUCUAGAAAUUCCUCUCUCCAAACCCUACCUUGUGUGGAAACUAAAUUUCCAGCAGUAAUCAUGAAAAAAAAACUAGAUAGGAAUGGAAGGACCAGAUAGCAGGGUCUGUACGGGGCUCCAAGGACCAGAGCCACCAAGCUCCACACAUCAUUUGGCCAUGGAGCCUAUUUCGCCAUGGCUCAACGUUGACCGGUCUGCGGUCAAUUGGGCCCCACGGUCAGCCGGUGGGGUCCAUGCCAGUCAAUGGACCCAUGUGGGGGCCCGCCCAUGCCAUGUUAGCGCCACGUGACUCCACGUGGCCACCGUAUCCUACGGGGCACUGCCACGUGGCACCCACGUGGCCGCACAGGGGUUAGCUUGGGAUCCGGUAUGCCAGCCGGAUCCCUUGCGCCACGAUUGUGGGGUCGAGCAUGCACUGCACGAUGAUUGGCUGCGGGCGAAGCUGCAGCGCACGCGACGUCGCGGUGGCGGGCGCGCGGUGACUGCGCCCACGACGUCGCGGCAACGAGAUUGCAGCGCGGGGCUACGGCCCGACCCAAGGCAAAGCCUUCGGUCGCGGUGAGGCUGCGGCGCAGCAGCGCGUGGCACUGGCGUUUCGAGCCCGCGGUUGCUGGCGGCGAGUGGUGGCGGCUCCUGUAGGCGGCACGCAACACGACAGCUGGUCAGGCAGCACAACACAACAGCGAGGCUUGGCAAGGCUCUAGGCGGCUUGUGGUCCCGUAGCUCAAUACGGCCGUGACGGUUGGAUGGAGCGGUGCGACGGCCGGGCAGACAGAGCAAGGAAGGGGCGACACAACGACGCUCACUGAGAGGUGGAGGAGAAGUGGGAUGCCGGCGUGGUAAAGGCUAGCGGAAUGAUGAUGGCUUCUUCCCGACGACGCACGGCUACAGCCUCCCUUCCUCCUAGUGCGGUCGCUCCUCCGGCGUGGCCUUCCCCUCUUCCUCGCCUCCUCUCCUCUCCCUCUUCCUCUUGGGCUGGUGGCGGCGAUGAAGGGGAAAAACCCCAGAGCUUAGAUGGUGAGAGGCCGGGGUUCAGCCUCCUUAUAUAGCGGCGAGCAGGCGGUUGUGAUGCGGCGGUGGCAAAGCAAGGUGGCGUGGUGGCCAUCCGCGGCCUCCAGCGCAAAAGCGGAGGAGCGGGGGAGGAUCACGGGCGCACGCGCGGGCGCGGUAGUGCACGCUAGUGAGGACGUAGCCGGCGAGCCCAUCCCAUCGCCCCUGCAUGUGCCGCGCGCGUGAGGCGUACGACGCGAGGUGGAAGAAGGAGCAAUAAGGCGGCUGACAGGCGAGCUCCACUUGGCGGUGGGGGAAAAGAGAGUGAGAGCGGGAGCGGUGGCCUGGCAUGCUAACUGGGCUGGCUAAGCCAGGUCGGCCUGUUGGGCUGCGUGCGGGUGAGGGAAAGGUGGGCUAGGCGGGUUGGUUUACAGGCCGGCCUGGUGGGUUAGUUUAGGUUAGAUUAGGUUUGUUUUGUUUCAAAAUUCAAACACACUCAUAUUUGAGAUCCAAAUAAAAUCCAAAAAGAACCAAAUCAAACCACGCAAGUUUGAAUUUAAAUUGAGAUUUAAUUUGUUAGGGAAUUUCUAGAAGAGCGUAGAAUUUGUCUGCAUUUUUAAAUGAACACACAAUUCAAACAAUUUUUUUAAAUUUUGGAAAUUUUACUCAAGUUAAUAUUUCAACUUUUUGGAAUAUUACAAGCAGGAUAACCAUUGGUAUUAAAAAGGGAGCUUUUGCAUGUACGUGUGCAUGCGUGCUGGCUCUGGGAUUGCUAAUGUGUGUUGGGGCUACGUGAUUGGUUACAUGGCAAGCUUGACAGAAAGUCGUGUGUCACGGUGGAGCUGCACAGGAGACGGCGUGAACCUGCAGGGUUGUGCAAGGGUACUUCGACGACGACAUGUAGGUUCUGUGAUGAACCGAGGGAGACAGUCUGCGGUUAGUGUGGAUAGUCUGACGAUCGAGCCACGUCGGUCGAAUUAGUAUAUGGCGAUGAGGUGUGUCGUGUGUGGCAGGGUUGUGUGUACAGUGGAGCUAAAGGGAACGACAUGACGUCGCGGAAGCUGACAGAGAAUUGCAACAAGUGAUAGAGGAGAGGUAGUGAUUGGCACACCAGACCUCAUGCCUAUUGUGGGCUCGUUGGCAACGAACGAAGGCUAUCGAUGGUGUUCAGUUGUGUUGCGCAAGACAACUGAUUGGAGUUCGAUGGCGGUUCAGUGGGUGGUCAAGAGAGGUGGAGUCAGGUUGCAAGUUGACAUGGUCGAGGUGUGGAGCAGCUCAUUGGUGGUCUACCUUUGAUGGAUAGAUUGGGCUGAACAGUUCGCAGGGCACAUGGCGGACAAUUUAGGAUGGCUGGCGGACAGUUCACUUGGAGGGUGAACAUACCGUGGUGCAUGGUGGAGAGACUGGCAGCGACAGGCUAGUCAGACCGCGGUCAGAGGCAAUGACAGGAUCAGCGAUGACGACAUAGGAGCACGCUGGCUAAUGGGGUUGUUGUUCUCUGCGGCAUGGCGACACGUGGCGCGAGCUCAGGAUGCAGGUUUGCAUGGGAGGAGUUUGCGUGCUUCCAAAUCAGCAAGAGCGCGGAUCGAUUCGAGUUGUAGCUACGUGUUUCUGAAGUAUGGAUCGAAGGGCGCGAAGAAGCUUCAAAGGGCUGAACUGGAAGGAAGUAUAGACUGUGGUGUCUGUACUUGCAACUAAAGUAAUCUGGUUGGACACGGCUGCAGGAGACUACGAGGUAAGGAGCUAGGUGUAGUAUGGCAGCGGCAAUGGAAGAGUAAUACUAGGGUGGCAAUUCCUAUAUGUGACUUGGAUAGCGACAGUGAGGUUCUCAUCAGUAUCAUGUGUGCAGUCAGUCAAUAUUCGCCAAGGUGGAGUUUGUUAGAUAUUGUGUCGAAUAUUUGUACGAGUUCGGUUACGAUGUGACUUGAGUUGUAUUUAGCAGUAUAGUGUAGAGCCUGUGUGAUACUCUGUAACCCGGACCUCCUCAUAAAUAUUAGAGGGGGGCUGCUGUUAUAACUAUGACGACAUAGUGACAGGCUCGCAGGGGGGAGGCGGCACGAUGCCGGAAUCCCGGAGCGGCCAGUGUUGCGAUAUUGGGGAGGAGCACCUGUAGUCAUGCCCCGGGAUGUAGGAUUCGGCUGAACCUCGUCAACAAAGUUCGUGUCUCCGUCAUUGUCUCUGAUCGUUCAAGUUCGUCUCGGUAGAUCCUAUCGAUACUUCCGCUGGUGGAGAUUAGCAGGCGGCUCGUCAUCACGAGGGCUAAUUUUUUAAUAUUACCGACGCAGAAGUCUGAAGUCCGGAUUUUGCGUCAACAUGCUGUUCUGCAUGGUCACUAUGAGAACAGAGAAUUCGGCCAUGCUCGGUUGGCCGCUUGGAUCGGCGUGGUGGGAGGAAGAGGGCUGCAUGAGCUCAGGGUGUAGGUCAGCGCGUAGUGGUUGACGACAUGCAGCAAUUGAACGAGGGGAUCUAUGAACCGCCGGGAUGAGAAGAUCCAGGGCCCGAUGGAGCCGAUGGCGAACUUGGCCAGCAGCAGCGUCGCGACCAUCACCCACCGCUGCUUUCUCCGAAAGCGCUGCUGCUCAUCUUGCUUGCCUGGCGUGUGAAUGAUGAGCAAGUACUCCCAGAAGUAUGGAAUAUGGAGUAGUACCUAGCUAGCAAGCUCUCAAUGUGAGUCUCGGAGGGAUCAUCUCUUAUUUGAUAAGUCUCCAGUUAAUAGUUGACGUCUCUGUACUUUUGAACUUUUUAUAAUUCUGUUCUCGGAGGGUUCCAUUACCAAAGAAGCAUGGAACCCUUGGAUGCAAUGCCGCCCCCUAUUAGAGACUUGACUAAGGUGCAAAGUGCAAACCCAGUCCACCAUCAUGCCCUACAUCAAAGGCACCAUGGAAGCCAACAACUUUGCUAUCAUUAAUGGAAAGGUGGACCCUAGAUGCCAAUAUAAAAAGAGUCUGAAGCUAAGCACGAAGGCCAGACACUCCAAACCCCAGGGGUCAACAAGAUAGGGAGAGAUAGUCAGAUAGAGUUGCUGAUGCUCGCUUGGCUCUUUAAGUUUUGGUACGGAUGCAAAACCAUUAUGAAAUGCUAUGGCUAGUUACCCACUAACAAAGUCUAGAACUGAUGCAACUUAUUGCAUCAAUGCUUGCUUGAGAACGAGAAUUGUGGAAUAUGAGCAUAGUUUGUGGUUGAGGUAUGCUAUGGAUCCGAGGAAGUGGGACUAGGGAAUAGAAUUUAUAUUCGAUUUAUAGUUUUGUAUGUACUUGCAUACAUGUUCCCUCCAUGAAACAAGUUAUACCGAACUUAAAACAUAUAGAAGGUAAAAGUGAAUAUAUUGUCUUUGAUACAUGAUACCCGUAGUCUUAACUUAAAAGAUUGUUAGCGGAGGUGGUUAUAUUAUACCCUUACCCCACUAGAGAUCAAGCUAACACAUUUGGCGAGAAAUUUGGAUUUUUGCCAUUCCAAAUAAUGGGCUUCGCAAAAUUCCCACACAAAUAUGGGUUUCCCAAAAACCACCACUUGAAAUGUUGACACAUUAUUUUCCUGGCCAUUUUUCUCAUUUUAAUGGUUUAUUUUCCAUUUUGCAUUUUGAGGGCCGGUGAAAAGGAAUAAAUUACCCCGAGCAAUUUACUUAUCUGGCUUGAUUGAAUCGGUCAACCCCUAUUUGUCGCCGGCUCACCACAGCACGCUGCCGCCCGCCUGCUCACCAUGAAAAGAUGUUAGGUCAAUCUCAGUGGGAGUUUCAUGAUCAUUAAUUUCUAUAUCACAUUACCAAUUUUGCGGUAUUUGUAAGGAGAGAGAAGGAGUUUCAUCAUAUGUGAGAGGAGUUUCAUCCCUAUUGCACUCAAUUGGCACAGUUACCUAGUUCUUAGUCUUGGCAACCGUGCAAUAAAACUGUACACUAAGACCGGCAACUCAAAAAAUAUAGAAGGUGAAAGUUAAUAUCCUUGAUAUUUGCAGUCUUAACUUUAAAGAUCCUACUAAAGUCGUAAGGCCAGUCUUAGUGGGGUGUUAUGAAGGGUUUCAUGGGCAUUAAAUCAUAUGCCACAUCAGCAAUUUUGCGGACUUGGCAACCUAAUUAUGAGGAGAGAGAAGAGGGGAGUUUCAUCCCAUGAAACCCACCUAGCACAGUUACCAAGUACUAUGAAACCCAAUGAAACUUGUCUUGAGGAUGUUAUAGUGUCAUCGCAAGACACAUUGGAGCGGCCAUUGGAGCGGCCCGAGUGGCGACGCUGGCCCGAGGAUGUUGUCGACCUUGCGGAACCGGAGCGGAGCAUCCUCGUCGUGGUCGGCAUCUAAGUAGUCGUCGUUCCCGCCGGCGGGUGGCAUGGCAAACUCCAUUGCCUGCGCCCCGCCUGACCCUCCUGGCGCCUCCCCUGCGGUGGCGUGUGGCGAUGGCGGCAGGGUUGACUCACCGUCUGUUUGAGCCUCCUUAGGUGCCUCGACAGCACCCUCAGCCGCCAGAGUCUCCUGGCCCACGAUGGAGUAUUCCAUAGUGAACACGUCGUCGUUGCCACUAGUCGCGUCGGAGCUGUCGCUGAUGCCCCAGUCCCACCGGGCUUGCUCAUCGAACACGACAUCAUGCGUCACAUGGACGCGCUUGGUGACAAGGUCGUAGGCGCAGUAUGCCUUUGUUCCACGCUCGUGGCCGACGAAGAUCAUCUUCCUGCCUAGAUCCUCCAGCUUCUUCAGAUGAGGCUUAAUGUUGCGGAUGUAGACGAUGCAGCUGAAUGUCUUGAGGUGGUGCACGGCCGGCUUCUUCCCGUGCCAGGCUUCGAAUGGCAUCAUCCCGUCCACGCUCUUCAUCGGGCACCUAUUCAGCACAUACACUACCCUGCUAACCGCUUCACCCUAGAACCAACCGGGCAGCCCUUUCGCCUUCAGGUUCACCUUCAUCAGCAGCGCUUAAUCGGAGUAAUUGGUCUUGGUAAGGGCGGGGUAGCUACUCCCGCCGCCCACCUCACGAAUCACCCGCUGUACCACGACACCAUCGCUGGAGGAGCCGUCGGCAAGCUUCCUCUCGUCACCCAUCAGCACCCCGGUCCGAAAAAAAUGGCUCUGAUGCCAAUUGUCAGAAGCACGCCGGAGAACGACGUCACUGGCAAGUUCACAGCCAAGAACACGCACACAAACACCGUUGACAUAAUUUGCGCUGUCAACUUGGCAGCUUUUCCAGUGUCUAAUGCAUUGCUUAAAUAGACAAUUACAAGGUAAGGAAUUAGACCCUCACAAUCAGGCUGGCUGUACAAUCACACAAUUGCAAAUUGCUAAAUUAAGCUACUGGCUAAACUAGGAAAGCAUAAAUCUAGAAUUAUUCUUAACAUUAUCUGGGUUGGUCACGCGGUUUCACUGGUUCAAGACCAGACCAUGAACAGGGCUACCUCAUCCCUCUCCUCCCUUUCCUAUCUCCUUGCUUGCUCAGGUGACUUGCAGCUUGGUUGGUGACCAGAUCCACGUUGUGGGAGGUUCAAUCCAUGUCGGGAGAGGCCGGAUCCGCGUGGGGGGGGGGGGGGGGGGCUAGUUCCACGCUUUUCGCCUGGGACCCUAGUGGUCCAUGCUGCUUCCCGGCAGCUGUCCAUCUGGCGGUGCCUGCGGGCAUCCCUGUGCGGAUCCUAUUCCGCUUAUGCUACACUUGCCUGCGAGGCGGCGUGCUGCCCAGCUUGGACGGCGGCUGCUCUAGGCCCUCUGGGUGGCAGCGCAGGUGAAGACCCUCAGGCUGCUCGGUGUGCCUUGUGGCCUUGGCGUGGCAGCGGCCACUCAGGGCCCUUCAUGCAGUGCCGUGGGGCUCUUCGAUGGCCGCUCGGGGCCCUUUGUGUGUCGGCGCAGUGCAGCAGCGUGGGCCUCGACAGCGUCGCUCAAGGCCCUUCGCAAGGUGCUGCGAGGCUCGGCGGCGGCAGCUCAAAGUGGGAAGACUGCGGGCCUGCGGCGGCACGCCGGCCGCGAGAGGCGUGGUAGCGGUGGGCUUGGCAACGCCUCAUCGGUGGCGCCCAGUGCUGUGCGGUGGUGCGCGGUGUGGGUCCUCACAACGACCCACGAUGAGGAGGAUCUACGUCGGUGGUGGAGUGGCGUUGCUGUCAGCGUUCGACUAUGUGUGAGGUGGGUUGUGCGCAAACGCUGGCAAAAGCCUGGAUCGGUUUUACCGAUUACGACAACGGCGACACCUUUGGGCGCCGUUCCCCUCCUUGGAGGCAUUGUUUUUGUGUUUUAGCACACCCCUCCUCUGGUCGACGUUUGAUACGUGUCGCCAAGGUGAUGAACCAUUAUCUCUGGAAGCUUUGUGUCUGUGCACGUGGUGCAACUGAGAUUCCAGCAGCGACAAGAUGGAGGUGAAGUUUUUCAAGCAGCUCGGUGGCACCAUGUCACCCCCGGCGGCAAAGAAAGUCCGAAUCCUUGACGUGGAGUCCAGUGGUGGAAGUGGUGAUGCCCUCAUUCACUUUAAGGUGAUAUGUCCGAGGAGUGGUGUGCGGCGGUGGAUGUGGCGAGGCCCCACGCGUUUGAGUUGCCUUGAAGGGCCAGGAUCCGGUGUUGUGUUUUGGUCGUUUGGUGUGUACGGUGUUGCAGUGGUGCUUCGGUGUUGGGUCCUUCAUAGCGAUGGCCUUUUCGGUGUGGAGUAGUGUGCUCCUCUUUUGACUUCUGCUGACGCAAAGCCGUGGAUUGGGAGAUCAACGACCGUGUGUGCGUGACUUGAGGAUGACGGCGGCAUGGUGGAGUCGUGGUAGCUACCGGCUUGCAGCGGACUAAGGCGGCCAGUCCUGCGUGGCAACAACUGGUUCAGCAUGGGACAUCGUUGGGGACGACGGCGCUUGCGAUGAGGACUACUUGUCGGCCUUUUCUCCCAGGUUGUGGUGGUGUGGCAUGGUGGUUGAUGCUCAAGCAUUAGCGUUGUGCGGCUUGUGUCGAUACCUCAAUCCGACCGACCACAGAGUUUGUUUUGUUUUGAGUUGAGUUCGGCACGAUCCGUUGGGAGUUACCAUUGUUGCUUUGUUGUUGUACCCAGUAUGGACUUUUCUUCUUUUUAAUAUAAUCAGCAGCUCUCCUACCUGGUUCUUUUUCUUAAAAAAAAAUAUUUCCUCACAGGAAAUCAAACAAGAAACUCUUCAAAAAUUGCAUGUAAUCCGGCCCACCUAUAAAAACUCACAUGCAAACUGCAAAAAAAAAGACAUUUCUGACAUCCACGCUUUCACACGGAUGAUGAUUGCGUGGGCGUUCCGGACGAGAAUGGUUCUGUGGUGGUGAACGACGAUUUCGUCGUGGUGCUGCUGCUGACCUUGAGAUCCACAAAGUCGGUGAUCAUGGCAGGCCUAAAGAUCUUGUCUACGGGGAUUCUCUUCUCCCCUGUGAGCAUCUGGACCACAUUGGUCAUGUUGGGACGACGAGCCAUCGCCUCCUGUGUGCAUAGCAGGCCAAUCUUCAAGAACCGGCAUGCCUCCUCGACGUCUACGUCGUCGCCCAUGCUGGUAUCGAUGAUCUCCUCCAAGCGUCCUUCCUCGUAGAGUCCCCAUGUCUGCAAGAGCAUCAGCAUACUUGUCAAGUUCAGUGAUGUUUAUUGCAUGGUUCAGGACACACUGAUUUAUAUGCCACGAGGCAAAAUUGACCAAAUUUGCUAAUGCCGGUUUAUUUAUCGGUUAUGUCAUGUGGCAAGAAGGGCUUACCCUCUCAAGGAGGAAUCGAUCUUCAGAAGGCAAUCUUGUGUUGGUAUUGUGUCUGCCACUAACAAUUUCUAAAAGAAGAACUCCAUAACUAUAGAUGUCGGACUUCUUUGUCACUUGACCUCGGAUGGCAUAUUCAGGAGCCAAGUACCCUCUACGCAUAAAUAGGAUUAGAGGUCAUAACUGAAGCAAAUUAUGUGAAAGAAGCUGCAUAACCAGGAUUUAGGGGUAUGCUUACAAUGUUCCUGCAACUCGGUCGCUCACAUAAGUUGCAUUGGGUGGCAGGAGCAUCGCUAACCCAAAAUCAGAAAUUUUUGGGGUGAGAUCCUUGUCGAGAAGAAUGUUGCUUGCCUUUAUGUCCCGGUGGAUAAUGGGAGGUCGGAUUUCCUCAUGGAGAAAUGCAAGUCCACGGGCAACACCCACAGAAAUGCUGACACGAGCACACCAGUUGAACCGAAUGUUACUGUAUUUUGCUCCUGCAAUGGCAUAGCUAAAACAUCUGUAAGUAUGAAACUUACGAAGAUAUAUAUUAACAAUAGGAGCAGGCAUUAGGCAGAACAAUUUGUCACCUAGCAAUGUCUGUGCAAGACUGUUGUUCUCAAGGUAAUUGUAAACAAGGAUUCUGUGAGAGCCAAGGAUUCCGGGAGAGCCUUCGGUGCAGCAACCGACAAUAGUGACCAAAUUUUUAUGCUUGAUGUUAGAUAUUGUUGUAAGUUCACUCAAAAAAUCCCGGAUACCUUGCCUUGAAGUAGCAGAUAGAACUUUUACUGCAACUACUGUCCCAUCUUUAAGCACUCCCUGAUCAACCAAAAUCGAAACGUAAGCCAAGGAUUUUCAUAAUAUCUGCACAAGACACCUGAUGAGAUGCUGAAAACUGUUGUGCAUAUUUACCCUGAAGACAGAACCAAAAGCACCCUCGCCAAUCUUAUUUGCACCACUGAAAUCUUGUGUAGCCUUUCUCAACUCACUGUAAGAAAAUACUUUGAUGCUAUGUACAUCUGGAACAACAAAGCGAGCACAUGUAAGAAUGGAAAAUCGCAUCAAGAUCAAAUGUAUGUAUAGCCAUGGUAAUAUAUGCAAAAGUUGCUAACCAUCAUCGUGUUCAACAGCUUGUUUCGCUUUCUUCCCAAACAUAAAGCAGCAAGCCGUUUCUGAAAAAAAAAGGGACCAUUAGCAAAGAAUUCAAUAGAUCAACUGGGAUUAUUAAAUCUUUAUCUUUAUUAUACCUAUAUUUAUAUAUUACUAUAGCAAAAUAGUGUUUCCAUGGUACGUCAAAAUCAAAACCCGCGUAAAAUCGGAUGCUGGGUCCGAAACCGUGUACAACCGAGAAAAACCGCAAGCUUGCACAUCGGUAGAUCCAAAAUCGAAGAAAACCGAAGUAGGGAAGCAAACAAACCACAGCCGGAGAAUAACCACACUCUGCGGGGGUGUUCGGUUGAGCUUCAAAUAAGCUGCAGCCGCUUAUUUGAACAGUAAAAAUAGAGAGAAGUUAAAAAAAAACGUUAGCUGAACAGCCACUGCUGCUUAUUUUGGCUGAUUCGAACAGGCCACGUGCGCGAUCGCACAUGAACCUCGGCUGAGCGGACUAGCAGGGCCAUAGAGGAACACCGAAACCAAGCCCACAAGCCGCAACAGGGGCGAGCACCGAUGGACAUCAAGCCGAGGCUCUUCAAGUUGGCUGGCACAAGAACAGAAAGGUGAAAGAGGAACUAAACAAUCACAGUUGGACACGUGGAUUAUGGCGAAUGACCACAGUUGAGGAGAUGGCAGAAUUUAUUGUGUUGUGGGAUCUGGUUCAGAACAUUCCAUUUGCUGAUCGGCCUGAUGCAAUCACAUGGAGAUGGACCGCCGAUGGUGCAUACACAUCACGGUCAGCUUAUCUGGUGCAAUUCACAGGGUCCUAUAGCACUUUCAGUAGUAGUUCCAUCUGGAGGCACAUGCCGGAAGGCAAGCACAAGUUCUUCGCAUGGCUCUUGGUGCAGAGCAAAAUCUUACAGCAACAAGUUGGCAGCCAGGAAUUGGCCUUGAAAAGUUGCAAUCCAGUGUGUUCCCUAUGUGAUCAGGAGCAGGAAAGGGCAGUUCAUCUGUGCCUGCAUUGUGUUUUUGCAAGGGAGGUUCGGGUGCACAUGAAUUCGUGGCAGAAUUCUCUUAGUCCGUCACCAAAAGAACAGAGAAGGAAUGUUGCAGCACUGCUCAUGUAUGCAUCAUGGAACAUAUGGAAAGAGAGAAAUAGAAGAACCUUUGAAGGAAAGGCGCUGAACGCACUGCAGGUGUUCUGGCUCAUCAAGGAGGAGAUCGGUGUUAGGCAGCAAGCGGUCGGAGGACCGAGUGUAUCGUAGUGUUGUUUAUUUAUCAUGCUUAGUAGUUUUCUUUUCCUGAGAAUGAGUUAUCCAUUUUAUGUAAUAGUAGAACUCAAUGUAAGACCUGUAAUGCUUCUUCUCCUUAAAUGAUUAGGCAGUGCUCCUGCCCUUUUUUUAAAAAAAAGAAGCCGCAACAAGCUUCUAAGAAGAAAUUUUCAACCAAAAAAAAACUCUACCAGGAAUGUGAUCUGCACAUCGGCCUUUGCCCAUUAUAUUGUGUUCUCAAUAAGAUAUUUGGUGGAAAGCAUUAUGUUUGUACAACUCAGAUGAUAUCUAUUUGCAAAAAAUGAUCUAAGCAGGAUAUACAAUUUUUUGACCAACAGGAGCGUACGUACCUCGUUUGAUACUGCUGGCGAUCUGGCCGCAGCUCUUUGAGGGUUUCCUGGUUGGUGACUUUCCCGCCACCACCAGCAAGUUAUGAGCGACGGACUCAGAUGCUUCUGGAGGUGUUUGGCGAGGAAAUGUGCUUGUUGCUAUUGGCUGGCAAUGAGGAAUACAUAUAUGAAGGCUCAGAACAUGUUAAUCAAUUUCGACUACUAUCACGCAAAAACUGGGGCACUUGAACAAAUUGUUUUUGCAGUAAUGUACAAAUUACAAUAUAUAUUGCCGGCUACAUGAAAAAUACGUCAGCCACUCAAAAAGCAACGAGGAACUAUCAAAAUAGCACAGUGUAGUUACAAAAUUGGUCCUAGUAAGGAGCUAGCUAUUGGCACGGUGCAAUGCAUUGAAUGCCGAUUAGCCAGAAACAAUUUAAAAAGGUCCACGAGGCGUUCUAAAUAGCGGAGCAUCCACUAUACUUGAAUAUGUAGUGGACAAUUCUUUAGCAUAUCUAGACCUAUUCAAAAAAUCAUUAAAGGGAACUUUUAAAAUACUCUCAAAAGCAUUAAAACUGUGCAACAUUCAAAUGAUAUUUAAAAACUUUAAUUCAGAACUUUCAAUAUAAGACUCCAAGUGUUUCCUAAUUCAGACUCAGAUGCUUCUAAAAUGAGAUCCCAACACUUUGUAUUUGAAAUCCAUGAGCUUUCAACCAAAGAAUCUAUGUUGGAUUUACGAUUUAUGAGUUUUCAUACAAGAUUUAAAAUCUUUCAUAAUCCAUGACACCAAUUUAAAAUAUUUAGCAGCUUUCAAACCCUUAAAACCUCAAAAGGAAUUAUUUGAAAUUACAGAAAAUGAUGGUGGGUGGCAAGCAGGUUAGUGGUAUACUACUCUACAGUCUCUACAUGGUGUCUAUUGAUUAAUGAUUUAGCGGGUUUCCAUGCAUGGUCCGUGGAUCAGUGAUUUCGAAAAUCUCAUUCAGUUUAAUGUCUUUUUCAUUUCCUAGAGAGCUCGUCGGAUUUUUUUUAACGCCUCUCUAUUAGGUACAGCUGCAGUGUCUCAUCAUAUGCACACACACUAAACCCUUCACAUUCACACCUCACUCACACCCCAGGCAUACAUCAAGACCUACAACUACACCCACCCAGCGUCGAAGAUCGCAUCCCUAGAGAGAUCGACGAGACCAACACUGGUUUCGUACACGACGGGACUUCGUAGUCCCAUUGUGUCACCACGCAUUAGAGGCCACAAAAUUAUUAAUGGGAGCAAGUCUUGGUGAGAGAUGCGAGUUCGAUUCCAGGAAUCUGACCCACGCCAGCUGCUUGGCCACUGCCCCCGCAAGCCACUCGAGCCUCAGCUCAGUUCUCAGAGUGUUGGAUCAGGAUCAAGCCAGCAUAUAUGUAUUCUAUUCUUUUUUAUUUUUAAUGUAACUUCUAUGGAUUGUCAAAUGUACCUGGUCUGUUUGUAUGUUUGGAUCACUUGUUGUCAUGUGAACGGACACAACCUCAGCCAGCUCUAUCUCAUUCGAUUGACUGGUCACAUCAGCCACAGUAGAAGGCUUAUGCAGUAGGUCAUCUGCAAAAAUAAAGAGUAAAUAGGAAAUUUAUUUGUUCUUCAGAUAAAAUCAUAGAUUGUGAAAAACAACAAUUAGCUCCACACUUAACUGGAGUGGACCAUGUAUGCACUACCCACAACAAAAUUUGGACACCAUUCCUUCCGUUGGGGAAAAGUGCAUAUUGUUUAAAUUUGUGUUUGUCAUUGGGUAAAAUGUCUAUGGAUGUAAAAUCAAAUAUUAUGCAAAAUCCUACUGUACUCUUUUAAAUGUGCACAAGACAACAUCCUAGGGCUUCAUCAACUUGGCCAUAAUAAAGUGUUAUAGGGCCACCAACAAUAUAAUAAAUAAAGAACAUACAGAGGUGUUGAAAUAUGACAAAGGGUGUAAAACAUAGGCAUAACUGUGUAAAUGUAAAUACAUCUUUGUUUUUAAUCAUAGACAUACAAUUCUAUUUUAACAAAAUACAUCAUUGAGACAUGCACAUAGAGAAUGCAACAAUAUAUAUUUUAAAAUCUAGGGCACAAUUGUGUCGUCUAUUGGGCUAGUUUUUGUUUAAUGACUGGUUAAUUUCUAAUACUUACCUGGUCUGUCAAAUAAAUUGUCCUACUAAAAGAUAUGUUAGCUUUUAUGUGAAAUGAAAUAGAAGUACCUAAACGAGACGAACUUGCUGCCGGAUCAGAAAAUUGGGGAAUCCUGAGAAAAUAACAACCAUUCAGUUAAAACAAGUCGAGAUAGCCAUAUGGCAUCUAUUGUCUACUUCAGUAUUUGAAUUGAAACAUAUACUAUAAUCUAGAUUGUGCGCAAAUCUAUUAUUAGAACUAUUUUUUUAAUAUUGAUUUGCCUCACACUUGUACUGCCUUUGAAUCAAUACAAGGAUACAGUCCCCUAUGUAUAGACAUGUCUGGUUAACAAUAUGUGUCAUAAUGCAAGUAUGCAACUAUACUCACCAUCCAUUUCUGUUUGGAGUUGUUGAGUAAGCAAUUCUGAAUUAUGACUUUGGCUAGUAAUUGACAACAUUGUUUUUUAUAAAUAUAAAUAAAGCCUAAGACUAAAAGAAUCUGUUCUCUUGGACAGGUUGAAAUUCCCAAUUAAUAUGUCAAAAAUAGGAGAAAGAUUCUAGAAAUUCUGUCAGAGAUCCACCUCAUUUACUGUAGUAUAACUAGCUUGAUUGCAACAUUUACUUUAGUAUAACUAGCCAUGGCCCCAUGAAUAUCGUGGGUGCUCUAAUAACUAGUUAUACUUGAAGUGGCCACCUCUUUCUAAUGCCAUUCAUUCUAUGUUUGGUGUUGGUGCCACCACUUAUUUUGAAGUCAAGCUCUGCCGCUUGAAGUGUUUGUAGGAAAACACAUCUACUUCCACUACAUAAUAUCCAAUAUCUCCUCAUUGUCAAAACUGCAAGUGAUCAAUUGCGUAGUACCUUCUGGAGUAAUAUCUUUUCAUAUAUAUAUAUACUAGUCUAACCAUGUAUAGAUUCUUUUCCACAAAGUUGUUUUUACUGCCUGGGAAGGUUCUCCCAUGCGUAUCUCACCCGACAGAGAGUAUGUACUUGGAUUAUGUGAUCAUACUAUACCAUCUGGUAGGGUAUGUACAUUGAGUAUGUGACAAUACAUAGAGUAUGUGGACUUGGUUGGAUUCCCUUGAAAAUUUUCCGUGCAUUUGGCUUUUGACCAUGUUCAAAGCGAUACAUGAGUAUGUGGAUAUAUGCAUGAUGGUCUGUUAAAGGUGCGUGGGAGUAGCUACAGGAAUGAUGAGACAAAGAUGCAUAUGUGCGCAGAGCAAACUUGGGCUAUGCCGGCUUGCGCGCAUGCCCCUAAAAGCUUUCCCACCUUCUAUAUGCAUCCAAAUGAACAAGACAGACAAUUAGCAUGUAUCAUGUUGCCCACACCAUCUGAACAGCCCAAGAGUCAUACAGGAGCAAAUCAUUAUUUAAUUUCCAUAUUUAAAAUGGAAUAUAUCUUGAACCGUAGGUUCAAUUUCUGAUCCGUUUGAAGAAUACCAUUGCUAAAUAAUGUUAUUAGCAAAAUGAGAUCCAUGAAGGUCAUAUUUGGAUGAAGUUUUCAAAAUUUAUAUUUCUCUUACAAUUUUAUAGUUAUGAUUGAAUACAAUAAGGUAAUUUGAGUUGUGAUCGUGUAGUCACUACAAGUCACAACUGUUCUACAGUUAUAAUUGUAGUAACUACGAGUUACAAUUACUAUCACCAUGAAUUGCUACCUGUUAUGGUCAGUUCACUACAAGACGUGAUUGCAGUCAUUACAAGUUAUGAUCCUACUCACUAUAUGAGUUACAAUCAACUGCCAUCGGUUGAAAAUGACUAUUUAUAAUUACAAUAUUAUUUGUCUGAUUUUCAAGUAAUUGUGAUCCUGUCCACAAGCAAUAACAGUAAUUAUUAUUUUUUAUAAGACUUUAGAGUUUCUUUUAGGAAAAUAUAGGCACGUACACUUCGUCAAUGGAGUCAGCCAUUCGUAUGCUGAUGCUCAGAUGCCUUGAAUGCUUGCUAGUGGUGUUCCGGAAUACAGAUUCCACGGCUGUCCUAUCGGAAUCCUCUGCACCAGGAGCUGACCCAAUUCGUACAGCGAUUUCUUGGAGGUUUAACAAGUGCUCAAUGCCGGAAAUCAUAUCACUGUACUGCUCUCCACUGUGGACAUUGAAUUCUAGUUUGAGCCUCCGAAGGUUUGGAAUUGCUCCGGCCUGAAAGGCAAGGCGCAGAACCCCACAGCUAAAUUUGAGAUACUUUAGAGUUGGGAAUGAUGCGCUGUUGAAGACAAUGCUUUGUGCACUUGGUUGCCUGACAUACAACUGAAGAAGAGUGAGCUCCUGUAAUCCGGAAAUUCUGUUAACGUCAUCCAUGUUCAGUUCCCUAACAACAAUUUUCAGGAUGCAUAACUUUUGGAGCUGUCCAAUCCAUUGAGGAAGUCUUGAAAAGAUGCAAAUGGGCGGCAACAACUCGAGUUUUUCAAGAGAAACGGGUGGAGCAGAUACUAUACUAGAGCAGUCUGUGUAAAUGAUGCUUCUGCAUGAAACAUCUGGAGCAAGAGUAAGAGAUUUUAGGUUGUCAAGUUUCCCAAUGGAAGAGGCCAGAGCUAUAAAGUUUCUCUCUAGACGGUCAGGCACUGCUGUAGAACAGGAGAUAUGAAGGUCAUGCAGGUUCGUCAUCUCACCAAGGCUCUGUACAUUGUCUUCAGAGUUGCUGCUCAGGUCAAAAGACUGCAAUGCACGUAGGGACCUCAGUUGCCCCACAUAAUCGGGCAGCUUUAUAUCACCUUGAAGGUGGAGGUGCAACAGUUUCGGAAGAAGAACAAUAUCCGAUGGAACAGUCAAUACUCUUGCAAAUAUUUCCAGUGUUUCCAAGUAUGUGAGUCCUUGCAUCUUGACUGGUAGCUUUAUAAUGCUAUCAGUUGUAAUCUUAAUGUACCUCAGCUGCAACAAUAUGUUGAUUCCACUUAGGUCGAAUACUUCUCGAUCACCCCAAAAUUCAAGGAUUAAAACUCGAAGUAGCUUAAACUCCAUAAUGGAAGGUAGACACUCAACUAAUCCAUAAAAGGUGAGUGAUCGAGCUGGCAACGGUGUGAAGCCUUCGGGCUUGGUUGCAUAUUUAGCAUUGCUGAAGCUGAGAGACAGUCGACGGACCUUUGCAGAUAGCUUUGGAAUAGUUUCAGAGUAGUCUAUUACCGUGGUGAAAUUCUCUUCUACGGACUUGCGCCUUAUAACUUCGAAUACAGUGGAGUGUACUGUAUAGAACAUCACUUCAUCUGCAAGAUUGAUAUGAUUAGUCUGUACAAGUCCCCUGCUGACAAGCUCAUCAAAAUAGCACUCUGCAAUUUCGUUGGCACUUUUAUCCUUCUGGAUAAAACCUUCGGCAGUCCACUGCUUCACCAAAUCACUCUUCAAGAAUGUAUACCCUUCUGGAUACAAACUAAAAUAUAGUAGGCAUGUCUUCAAGUGUUGAGAAAGACUGUAAUAGCUCAGGACAAUUAUUUCUCUUAGCAAGUCUUCUGAAGAAAGAUUAUUUCUGGAAGAUAAAUAUUCUUUAAUAUGGUGCCAGAGCUCUGAGUUGUCUGUUUGACCUGCAAAAACGCUAGCUAUGAUAAUUGUUGCUAGUGGGAGACCACUGCAUUUUCUUAUAAUUUCUUCUGAAUAUUUCUUCAGUUGUUCACAGAAUUGAGGAUUCGAGCCAAACACUCUGUUGCAGAACAAUUCCAUGGAGUGAUCUGUGCUCAGCGGCUCCAUCUUAAAAAUACCUACUUGGGCAUGAAAAUGGGAGUCUGAAUCCAACAUGAAAUCAGGUGCCGAAGUAACACUUGCAUUAGAUUGGUAAUCACAGCACUCCAGGGCAACCUCCUCAAUAUCUGUUGUUAUUAAUACUCUACUACAAUGAGCACCCUCCGGAAAAGCAUUCCUAAUAAUAUCCCAAGAUGUCGUUUCACAUAAACCAUCAAUAACAAUGAAAUACCUGCCGAUAAUCCAAAUAUAAGAGUUAUGUUGGCCAGGAUCAAUAUACACAAGUUCAAAAAUACCACAAUAAAGCAUGGCCAAAACUAUGAAACAUAAAGAUGAUGGCUUGCAUUGGUUCCCUUCUGUUAUAGUAAUACGUUAUUCGCUAGAAUCACUACCUUUUGGUCUGACAAACUUGGAUGCAUAAUUUGUAUGCUCCGAUGCUGAUUAGGCUCAAACCAUUAGGUUCUCAAGUCCAAACAAAUGGGGCACUGUAAGACGCUUUAUACAUUUCCUUUGAUGCACGAAGUUUGUUAGAAGAAAAAACAUACGUUUCACAUCAAUAGUCAGAUCUAUGUUCUUUUUUCUUCACCUUGUAUUCAUCUUUCUGCUGCCAGAAUUUCCUACGCUGCUAUUACGACUAGAGUAAAAUGAUCUGAACCUUAGAGUUCUGUACACAAGUCUAGUGAAUAUAUAGAGAUCAAUCUGUUUUGUGACCCAGAGCCAAUUGAUUGCUAUUGAUGCCUAAAUUCAUCGUAUAAAUGUUUAGUGACCCAGAGCCAAUUGCUUUAAACUGAUUGUAUUUGAACACCAAUACGAAGCAAUUGACCUUGGGGCACUAAACAAAUUCAUCUCAAUUGACUAAGCAUCUGAAUGUAUUGAUGCAUACCUCUUCUGCUGAAGAUGUCUUCUAAGGUUGUCAACGAGCUCUUGCACGGGGAGACCACAAGGGGGUCGUUCGUGGCGCCGGACUUGAGUGAUCAUGCUCCGGAGAAGCCUCCUUGCAUCAGGCACCCUUGACGCCCGCACAAAGGCUC
rnacentral:lncRNA from 1 species